rnacentral:tRNA from 1 species
GAGAAAGACGGAAAACAAUAAGUUCUGCUAAUACUUAAAACCAUGGUUAAACUCCAUGGCUUCUCG